rnacentral:rRNA from 1 species
ACUCCUACGGGAGGCAGCAGUAGGGAAUCUUCCACAAUGGGCGCAAGCCUGAUGGAGCAACACCGCGUGAGUGAAGAAGGGUUUCGGCUCGUAAAGCUCUGUUGUUAAAGAAGAACACGUAUGAGAGUAACUGUUCAUACGUUGACGGUAUUUAACCAGAAAGUCACGGCUAACUACGUGCCAGCAGCCGCGGUAAUACGUAGGUGGCAAGCGUUAUCCGGAUUUAUUGGGCGUAAAGAGAGUGCAGGCGGUUUUCAAGUCUGAUGUGAAAGCCUUCGGCUUAACCGGAGAAGUGCAUCGGAAACUGGAUAACUUGAGUGCAGAAGAGGGUAGUGGAACUCCAUGUGUAGCGGUGGAAUGCGUAGAUAUAUGGAAGAACACCAGUGGCGAAGGCGGCUACCUGGUCUGCAACUGACGCUGAGACUCGAAAGCAUGGGUAGCGAACAGGAUUAGAUACCCUGGUAGGAUAGCG